GACGAACGCUGGCGGCGUGCCUAAUACAUGCAAGUAGGACGCAGUUGCGAACGGGUGAGUAACGCGUACGUAACUACCUAUUAGAGGGGGAUCACUCUUGGCAACGAUAUCUAAUACCGCAUACUAGUAGCUGGACCUGCGUUGUAUUAGCUAGUAGGUAGGGUAAUGGCCUACCUAGUCAACGAUACAUAGCCGACCUGAGAGGGUGAUCGGCCACACUGGGACUUAGACACUGCCAAGAAUCCUACGGGAGGCAGCAGUAGGGAAUCUUCGGCAAUGGGGGGAACCCUGACCGAGCAACGCCGCGUGAGUGAAGAAGGUUUUCGGAUCGUAAAGCUCUGUUGUUAAGGAAGCGGUACUUAACCAGAAAGGGACGGCUAACUACGUGCCAGCAGCCGCGUAAUAC
rnacentral:rRNA from 1 species